rnacentral:rRNA from 1 species
AUUGAACGCUGGCGGCAGGCCUAACACAUGCAAGUCGAACGAGUGGCGGACGGGUGAGCAAUGUCUGGGAAACUGCCUGAUGGAGGGGGAUCACUACUGGAAACGGUAGCUAAUACCGCAUACCAUCGGAUGUGCCCAGUUGGGAUUAGAUAGUCGGUGGGGUAAAGGCUCACCUAGGCGACGAUCCCUAGCUGGUCCGAGAGGAUGACCGGCCACACUGGAACUGAGACACGGUCCAGACUCCUACGGGAGGCAGCAGUGGGGAAUAUUGCACAAUGGGCGCAAGCCUGAUGCAGCCAUGCCGCGUGUAUGAAGAAGGCCUUCGGGUUGUAAAGUACUUUCAGCGGGGAGGCGUUACCCGCAGAAGAAGCACCGGCUAACUCCGUGCCAGCAGCCGCGGUAAUUC